rnacentral:rRNA from 1 species
GGACCCGCACAAGCGGUGGAGCAUGUGGUUUAAUUCGAUGCAACGCGAAGAACCUUACCUGGUCUUGACAUCCUGCGAACUUUCUAGAGAUAGAUUGGUGCCUUCGGGAACGCAGUGACAGGUGCUGCACGGCUGUCGUCAGCUCGUGUUGUGAAAUGUUGGGUUAAGUCCCGCAACGAGCGCAACCCCUAUUGAUAGUUACCAUCAUUAAGUUGGGUACUCUAUUGAGACUGCCGCUGACAAGGCGGAGGAAGGUGGGGACGACGUCAAGUCAUCAUGGCCCUUACGACCAGGGCUACACACGUGCUACAAUGGGUAUUACAGAGGGCUGCGAAGGUGCGAGCUGGAGCGAAACUCAGAAAGGUACUCUUAGUCCGGAUUGCAGUCUGCAACUCGACUGCAUG